GGAUUUCUGGAGGUUGUUCCUUUUGGUGUUUUUCUUGAUAAGCUUGGGACACAGUUGAUGAGAAGCAGUCAGGAAGUCUAGCAGAUAUGAAUAGGAAACCACUGGAAUAUAAGGCCAUUCUGUCAACUCAGAACAGACAGAUACCUACAGCUUCAUCACUGCCAGUAGCACACUGCUGGGUUGGCAUUUACUGAUCAAAAGAAACUUUGCCUGAAGAAUUUCCUCUGUCCAAAGAUAAAAGGAAUACAAUACUUUCAUGGU